rnacentral:rRNA from 1 species
CCCUUAGAGUUUGAUCCUGGCUCAGAGUGAACGCUGGCGGCAGGCCUAACACAUGCAAGUCGAACGGCAGCACAGAGGAGCUUGCUCCUUGGGUGGCGAGUGGCGGACGGGUGAGGAAUACAUCGGAAUCUACCUAUUUGUGGGGGAUAACGUAGGGAAACUUACGCUAAUACCGCAUACGACCUACGGGUGAAAGCGGAGGACCUUCGGGCUUCGCGCAGAUAGAUGAGCCGAUGUCGGAUUAGCUAGUUGGCGGGGUAAAGGCCCUCCAAGGCGACGAUCCGUAGCUGGUCUGAGAGGAUGAUCAGCCACACUGGAACUGAGACACGGUCCAGACUCCUACGGGAGGCAGCAGUGGGGAAUAUUGGACAAUGGGCGCAAGCCUGAUCCAGCCAUGCCGCGUGGGUGAAGAAGGCCUUCGGGUUGUAAAGCCCUUUUGUUGGGAAAGAAAAGCAGUCGGUUAAUACCCGAUUGUUCUGACGGUACCCAAAGAAUAAGCACCGGCUAACUUCGUGCCAGCAGCCGCGGUAAUACGAAGGGUGCAAGCGUUACUCGGAAUUACUGGGCGUAAAGCGUGCGUAGGUGGUUUGUUAAGUCUGAUGUGAAAGCCCUGGGCUCAACCUGGGAAUUGCAUUGGAUACUGGCAGCUAGAGUGCGGUAGAGGGUAGUGGAAUUC